ensembl:lincRNA
GGAAAACACGACGACCGAGAGCCCAAACACCGUAAACAUGGCGCUGCGGACGGUCAUUUAGGCGAACAAUAGACGGUGACUCACCGACCGAGCCCGAACCCAGCAGAAAAUACCAGAUCCACAUCCUGAGGCGGCCGAUCCGGUCCGCCCUGUGCCGAGGCUGGAGCGGGGUUUCCUGGCGGAGUGUCCGGGUGUGGAGCUCCGAGAGGCGGCUUGAUUCUGCUGUCGGACAGCCCGAGGAGGAGCAGCGGCGGGAGGAGGUCAGAAACACUGAUCUGGGGCAGAAAAGGCGGAGACAUUUCAGCUUUACACACAAACAUCUCCGGGCUUUACUGCUGGAGACUGCUCUGGAGAGAGCUGCGUUCAGGGUGUGUGUCCGACGUGUGCGUCUCCUCUGUCUUCAACAGCUGACGGAGCGUCAGGAUUCCUCCUCUGAUCCGCAACUCUGAAAAACACAAACAUCAUCAUCAUCAUCAUCAUCAUCAAACACACACACACAUCAGCAGAGUUUCACAGGACACACUCACCUGAGCCGCACAUCAGGAUCCUGAAACACAGAGCGGAGAGCAGGAGUUAAGAGACGUUCACACUGAUCAUAUCUGUGUCCACACUAAUCAUCUGCUGUUCACGCUUCUCUACUUGCAGUACCCUCUCGUAACCAGCAGGGGUGUGCCCUGUCUUUGUGCUGUGUGUGUGUGUGUGUUUGUAUGUGUUUCUGACCGCUCGUCCUCCUGCAUCCUCCUCUCUGCGGGCCAGCAGUGGAGCCAGCAGCGCUGCAGGGGCUCCUCCGUCCUCCUCCACCUGCUCCAUCUGCUGGAGUGUGUGUGUGAUAGAGUCCAUCUCCUCCUGCAGCGUCUGUGUGUGCGCGCUGAUCUCCGAGAUCUUCUCCGCAGCCUGAGCGGUCAGGAAGGCCUCCUUCAGGUCCACCAGAUGCAGCACGCGCCACUCCUCCAGACGCACCAGGCGCUGCAGCUCGUCAAACUGCUGGUUCACGUACGCCUCCAGCUCCUCCAUGCUCAUCUACACACACACACACACACACAUAUAUAUGAAAGUGUGUGAUUUAGGUGUGUUACUCCUCACACUGUUGAUCAGCUGUAACACACUCACAUCUGGACUGGCCCAUUUAGCCUUGAUCCUCUCCGAGAUUUCAUGAGUCUGUUCCAGCAGAUCAAUGCCUUCUUUACUCUGAAACACACACACACACACACACACACACACACACACACACACACACACACACACACACACACACACACACACACACACACAGAUGAGUGAGCAUUCCAUCUGAUUACACUUGAUAAUAUGUGUUUACACACGUGUGUUGUUUCUGUGUGUGUGUGUGUGUGUGUGUGUGUGAGACCUUCUGCCACAGGUAUGCCUCUCUCAGUGUGAUGAUCUGGUGUCCUCGGUGUUCCCCCUGCACGGCACACAGCACACAGAUGAUGCGCUGGUCGUGUUUGCAGUAUAGCGCCCCCUCCUGGCCGUGAUCUCUGCACUUCAGCCGCUCCACGCUCACAGUCUCCCUGCGCCCGUCCGGCGGGAGCGCUGCAGCCUGCGGCUCAGCGGAGUGUGUGUCUGCCUCUGCGCUGCUGUAGGGCUGCAGUGUGUGUGCGGUGCUUUGUGUGUGUGCGUCUGCGUGGCUGGAGCAGAAGGCGAAGCGGCAGCGCACACACAUCCACAGCGCAGACUCCGCCUCGUCCGGCUCGCAGGCGUCACACGUGCCGUCCAUCUGCGGCAGAUCCUCCUCCAACAUACACACGUCCAUACUGCAGCUCGGAGACUCUGAACACAGCAUCACAACACACAUCAUACACACUCGCAGAGUACUACAUGCACUACAGUGAUUUUAUAUAGGGAAAUCGAACUAAAUGCACUGAAGUGAUUAUAUACACUCACCGGCCACUUUAUUAGGUACACCUGUUCAACUGCUCAUUAACACUAAUGUCUAAUCAGCCAAUCACAGGGCAGUAGCUCACUGCAUUUCGGCAUGUAGACAUGGUCAAGAGGAUCUGCUGCAGUUAAAGCGAGCAUCAGAAUGGGGAAGAAAGGGGAUUUAAGAGACUCUGAACGUGGCAUGGUUGUUGCUGCCAGACGGGCUGCUCUGAGUAUUUCAGAAACUGCUGAUCUACUGGGAUUUUCACGCACAACCAUCUCUAGGGUUUACAGAGAACGCUCCGACAAAGAGGAAAUAUCCAGUGAGCGGCAGUUCUGUGGGCGCAAAUGCCUUGUUGAUGAGGUCAGAGGUCAGAGGAGAAUGGCCAGACUGGUUCCAGCUGAUAGAAAGGCGACAGUAACUCAAAUAAGCACUCGCUACAACCGAGCUCUGCAGAAGAGCAUCUCUGAACACACAACAUAAAGCUCAAUCAUCUCAGACUGGUUUCUUGAACAUGAUGAUGAGUUCACUGUACUCAAAUGGCCUCCACAGUCACCAGAGCUCAAUCCAAUAGAGCAGCUUUGGGAUGUGGUGGAACGGGAGAUUGGCAUCAUGGAUGUGCAGCCGACAAAUCUGCAGCAACUGCAUGUCAACAUGGAGCAAAAUCUUUGAGGAAUAUUUCCAGUAGCUUGACGAAUCCACAACACCAAGGAUUAAGGCAUUGCUGAAGGCAAAAGAGGUCCGACCCGGUACUAGUAAGGUGUACCUAAUAAAGUGGCCGGUGAGUGUAUAUGCACAGAAAACUAAUGAAACGUCCAAUUGAUGUGAGUUUUUUUGAUGUGUGCACUGACUAAUCUAAUAUAUCUGCACAGUUAUAUUACUGUAUAACAAAUAUGAAUGUAAAAGAGAAAUCUGAGAGGGGUCAACUUAAUUUUGAUGAACACUGUGACUUUGUAUGAGUAUAAAACAAAUUAAAUGCACAAAAGGGAUUUGCUAUGCAUAGAAAUAUAAUUAAAUUAUGUACAAAAGUGAUUUAAUAUAAAUGCGCAUGUAAAAAUAAUGCACAAAAGAAGUUAUUGUAUGUGUAUAGAAAACAAGUUAAAUAUACAAGUGAUUUUAUAUGCAUAAAAACAAUUCAAAUUGACAAAAAAAAGUGAUUGUAUAUGCAUGGAAAUAAAAUAAAGUGCACUAAAAGGGA